AUACCAUGCAUUGGGCAUUUUCUAAUUAACUCAAAUAACUCUCAUGCUUCAUAUAAUGUUUCAUUCUUAGAUUACCAAAAAGACGUAAUAUCGCUCCUCAGUUU
rnacentral:snoRNA from 1 species